UACGAAGGGGGCUAGCGUUGUUCGGAUUUACUGGGCGUAAAGCGCACGUAGGCGGAUUGGUCAGUUAGGGGUGAAAUCCCGGGGCUCAACCCCGGAACUGCCUUCGAUACUGGGUAUCUUGAGUUCGGAAGAGGUGAGUGGAAUUGCGAGUGUAGAGGUGAAAUUCGUAGAUAUUCGCAGGAACACCAGUGGCGAAGGCGGCUCACUGGUCCGAUACUGACGCUGAGGUGCGAAAGCGUGGGGAGCAAACAGG
rnacentral:rRNA from 1 species